UGGGAUGUAGCUCAGUGGCAGAGCGCUUGUCUAGCAAGAUAACGUCCUGGGUUUGAUCCCCAGUACCAA
rnacentral:tRNA from 1 species